GGAAUGAACAGGAGCUGGCCGUGCCUGCCACCAUCUAUGCCCACGAAUGAUGUCUCUGGCCACUCAUCACCAUGCUGUGUCCUACUGCAGCUGAGCCCAUGGCAGCUAUAGCUUGGAGACCCAUCUGCCCUUCUGCAAAAUGGCCCCAGUGUUUGGUUUCUCGAGUGUCUUUCAUAUUUUUUCUGCUCCCUGCUUCCUCUUGUCUGUCCCCAGUUCUUCUUCUUUUUUGGACAGGGUCUCACUCUGUCACCUAGGCUGGAGCGCAGUAGUGCGAUCAUAGCCCACUACAGCCUUAAAUUCCUGAGCUCAAGUGGUCCUCCCACCUCAGUGUCUUAAGUAGCCGCGACUACAGGCACACGCCACCAUGCUUGGCUAACUUAUUUAUUUUUGUAGAGAUGCGGUCUUACUUUGUUGCCCAGGCUGGUUUUGACCUCCUAGGCUCAAGCAAUCCUCCUGCCUCGGCCUCCCAAAAUGCCUGAAUUACAGGUGUGUGCCACCACACCUGGCCUGCUCUCAAGUCUUCCUGCUACUGAUAUGUCUGCAACACUCUGUCUUUUCUACCUGCUGCCUCUCCCCCUGUAAUUUGCUGUUUAUAAUGCACUGUGGGUUGUAAAACCAAAUUAUUUGUACUCAAACUGUUUAAGUAAGUAGAUAAAAUGAGUAGACUGUGGGUGAGACCCAAGUUUCUGGCUGAUAAGGAUAUGACUAUAUGAUACCAAUUUUGGCUAAUCAGGGACCUUUUUCUUUUCUUCCUGUUUCUUGGCAGUGUGCUGCUGGAGACGUGAACGUGAUAGUCAGUGAGGAAAUUUAAAAGAAUCAUGUUCGAUGAGUCCAUAGAAAAAAUAAGAGCUGACAAGUCAUGCCUUCAAUGCACUAAGCAUUUAUUAUUAAAUAACUGGUGUGUGCCUAGAACUCUAGCUGGUAUGGAGGGGAUUUUCAAAGGAGCACUACGGGGUCCCUUCUGUGUGGUAAAGGAUUAACCUCCCCCAAAGAAAGGUUUGGCUCUUUGUUUCUGGCUCUUGAGAGGGAAAAGCUAAGCCCUUGGAAUGUCCUUGGUAUGAGUGUCUUUGUUUCCCUGGGGUCUUGGGGCAGCCAGUUAGUUUACACUUCAAUGUAGGGGCCUUGGGCCACAUGGUAUCGGCACAUGGAUGGUCAGUCGUGUCUACCUGACCGAGGCCAAGUAAAACUCGGGACACCAAGGUUUGGGUGAACUUCCCUGUUGGCAGUACCCCGUGUGUGUUGUCACGCAUCCUUGCUGGAGAAGCAAGUACCGUCCACACAAUUCCAUUGGGAGAGGACAAUCGAAGCCCAUGCCUGUCUCUCCAGGACAACUCUGCCCCAUGUAUCUCUCCCACUGGCUGAUUUUAAUCCAUAUUCUCUCACUGUCAUAAACUGUACCGAUGGCAGUAGAAUGCCUGUUUCGAGUCCUGUGAGUCCUUCUAGCAAAUUUUUGAACCUGAGGAUGGUCUUAGGGACCUCCUGAACUCACACCACCCCUGUGAAAGAUGCAACCCAGGGCAGGGCUAUUCCCCUCUGCAGACCUUGGGUCCCUUCCUCAUUGGUGAUGUGAGGGGUUGCUUCAGGAGAUGCCUCAGGUUCUUCCAGCACAAAUGCUAUGUGGUUCUGACAGAACCUGCAUCGGUUAGAGCAGGGUUCCCCAACCCCGGGCCAUGGACCUGCGCUGCUUCGUGCCCUGUUAGGAGCCACCUGAGCAUUAGAUUCUCACAGGAGCAUGAAUCCCAUUGUGAACUGUGCAUGUGUGGGAUCCAGGCUGUGUCAUCCUCAUGAGAAUCUAAAUGCCUGAUGAUCUGAGGUGGAACAGUUUCAUCCCAAAACUAUCCUGCACUCCUCCACCCUGUCCUGUCUGUGGAAAAACUGUCUUCCAAAAAACCAGUCCCCGAUGCCAAAAAGGUUGGGGACUGCUGCUUUAGAGGGAGCCAGGCUAGUUACCAGUAGAAACCACCACUGUCCCAUCUCUACAACCGCCAUCAGGGAUGGAGGGAGACUGGGAGACUCCGUUCCUCUGAUAGUAAGCCUCCCCUCCCAGAGCGAGGGGUGGGCCCAGGGCAGGGUCUCAGGGCUGGAGAUGUGGGCCCUGCACAAGGCGUGAGCCUGGAUGAGAAGCCAAGAACAUCAGGCCCUCAGAAGCCAGGUGAGAAAGAACAAGGUCUGUGGUGGACAGCCGGCUGCAAAGAGAAGGCAGACGUGGCUGACAGGCAGAGGAGGGAGGCUUGGAAAGACCUGGAGAGAUGGCAUUUCACAGGUGAAAGCCAGCUUCCUGUUAUCUAAAUAGCACACAGUCACGGACUUAAGAGGAUCAGGAAGCAAUGGAAGUCAUUGAAUACACUCACCAGAGCCCAAUUCGGUCUUGGACAAUUUGCACAGCCUUUCAAAGUUAGGCUGGGCUCGAUGAAUAUUGAAUAGUCCUGCCCAAAUCCUGCUUACUCGGCCCCUGGCUAUCUUGAGUCUUGAGACCAGACACUUUCACUCUUGAGGAUGGAGCUGCCUCCGUGGCAUUUGAUUUUCAAGGUACUUUGCCUGCAGUUUGGGUGAGUGCUCACCUGGGGGCGCUGUGCUUUGGUGUCCCCUGCUGUUUGAGCAUCGUCAGUUUCAGAGGCGGGGAGCCCACUGCCGUUCAAUUAUGAUUUCCCAUGGAAAUGAAUCUUUCUUGAACUAGAGCUCUUUAUUAAUGAGGAAGCCUGGAGUACCAUAGAAUAUUACAUUUUCAAGAUUGGAAGCAUAUUUUAGGUACAAUUUGGUACAUGAAAUCAAAUUUUAGAGACUGAGGCUGCAUGGGAAGUGAUCUUGCCUGGUCUCUUCGUUUAACAGAUGAAGAAAAGAGGCCCAGAGAGGUGACGUGGCUCUUUCAAGGCCAGUUAGGCUGGGACAGGCUUUAGUGUUAUCUUCCAUUGGCAGAAGCAGAAGAAGACAGUUAUUUAAAAAAUCAAAUAUGAGAGUGCUACCUACCGUCAGCAGAGUUUUUGAUGUGUGUAGGGCACUAGAGUUUUUAUAAUGAUUAGUUCAUUUAAUCCUUAUAACAACGUUAUGAAGGCAUUCUGCUUCUAUCCCAACUGGGUGAACUCCAUUCAAUUCGGACACUAACCACUCCAAGUUAGUGUCACACCGCAGAAGUCAAGGGCUCAGGCCUUCGCAAGACUGCCCUGCCUCAGACACCAGCCGGGGUCCCCAGGACACCUGCACUUCUGACCAGCUGGGUACACAUUCAAGGGUUGUCAUGAUACUCUCAGGUUCAACAAUUCACUAGAAUGACUAACAGAACGUGGGUGUGUGCUACACCCACGAUUACAGCAUUAUUAUAAAGGAUACACAUAGAACAAGGUCUGGGAGCAUCCUGGACUUGCAGCUUUCAUGCCUUCUCCUGUGGAAUCAGGAUGCAUCACUUUCCCAGCAAAUCCAUGUGUUCAACCAGGAGGCCCCACUGAGCUUUGAAACUCACCGCAAAGCUACAGUAAUCCAAAGAGUAUGGCGCCGGCAUAAAGGCAGGCAUAUAGACCAAAAGAGUAGAAUAGAGACCCCAGAAAUAAACCCUCGCAUAUAUGGUCCAAUGAUUCUUGACAAGGGUGCCAAGACCAUUCAAUGAGGAAAAGAAGGUCUUUUCAACAAACAGUGCUGGGAAAACUGAAUAUCCACCUACAUAAGAAUGAAUUUGGACCCUGACCUAACACCAUAUGCCAAAAUUAAUUCAAAAUGGAUUACAGACCUACAUGUAGGAGCUAAAACCAUAAAACUCUUAGAAGAAAACAAGGAUACAGCUUCAUGACAUUGGAUUUGGUGACGAUUUCUUAGAUAUAACGUCAAAGGCACAAGCAACAAAGGAAAAAAAUAGACAAAUUGGACUUCAUAAAAAUUAAAACCUUUUGUGAGUCAAAAGACACUAUCAACAGAGUAAAAAGGCAACCCACAGAAUGGGAGAAAAUAUUUGCAAAUCAUGUAUCUGGUAAGGAAUUGAUAUCCUCAAGAGAUUUCAGUGUCCAGAGUUUUGUCGUUGUUGUUGUUCCUUUUUGAUAUAGAGUCUCGCUCUGUUGCCCAGGUUAGAGUGCAGUGGUGUGAUCAUGGCUCACUGCAGCCUCGAUCUCCUGGACUCAAGUGAUCCUCCUGCUUCAGCCUCUUGAGUAGCUGGGACUACAGGCGGGCACCACCAUACCUGGUUGAUUUAAAAUUAUUAUUUUUUUAAUUUUAGUAGAGAGGAGGUCUCACUAUGAUAUCCAGAGUGGUCUUGAACUCCUGGGCUCAAGUGAUCCUCCCACCUCAUCUUCUCAUAGCAUUGGGAUUACAGGCAUGAGCCACUGCACCAGACCCAAAGUUUUCACUGGGAUUUCAUUACGUAGCCAUGACUGAUUAAAUCAUUGUCCUCAUGACUGAACUCAAUCUUCAGCCCCUCUCCCCUCUCCGGACUUUGGGUGGACCAAAAGUUCCAGCCCUCUUAUCACGUGGUUGGUCUUUGGUGGUCAGCCUCCAUCCUGAAGUCCUCUUGGCAUGUGCCAGGAGUCACACCAUCAACACAAUCAAGACACUCCUAUCAUUCAGGAAAUUCCAACGGUUUUCUGUGCCAGGAACCAGGGACAAAGACAUACUCUUUAUUAUACCACAGAGGUGUUGUCAUUGUCCUUUUGCCAAGCUUAGGCUGGGGCUGAGAGAGAGAGAGGAAGUAACUGGCUCCAAAUCCUGCAGCUGGCCUCUGACAGACAAGGGCAGCUCUCAGACCUGACAGCCUCAAACUCUCUGGGCUUAACCCCUAAACUGAGCCACUGCCACCAUGUGAAGGGUGGGUGGAGGAAGAGCGCUGAGCAAACUUUCCCUGGGACCAGUGCAGACCAAGUGAGGAGAGGGGGAAUUCCAUUUCAGAAACGGAGGAACUGUAUAAUGCCAUGAGAAUUGCUUCUGGCUCGCAGGGAGUGAAAACCAGUGCUUGGGCUUCUGGGAAAGGACACAGAGCCUCUCUCCAUGGAGAACUGAUGACGUGCACAAGCCAUCAUCUGUCCUGAGAAGUUAAAUCCAGGGCUGGGGAAGCAAUUCCCAGUCCCAGCCCUUCCCUGCCUGCCCCACACCAGUGCUGGCUUGGGCAAGCUCCUAAGCCAUACCAAGGCUCAGACCAAGAAAAGAAUCGAUUAUCAGCCAACGAGGAAAGCACGCUACCACUCUUCUCUCCAUCGAACCACUUAAUCAAGGCUAAAAAGUUUGAUUUUCUUCUUUAUUGUCUACUGAUUUUUUUUAACAAAGUUUUACAGCAGGCUGGCUCAAAACAUGAAGCUUUGGGAAAGAUUUGCUUUUCAAUGCUGUGGGUUCUCACUGAUAGUUAUGUGUCUGGGGCCAGGGAUCCUUCUCUAGGGUUCUUUUCACCCUAUAAUUCUGGAAAGAGAGAGUGAAAUCAACUUGGGGUCGGUGUACCCUCAGAUCCUGGAAUCACACCCCUCAAUACCAUAUUUUACCUGCAUCAUGUGUGCCUGGGUCCAUUCCCCUAGGGAGGUCAAGAGCCCUGUUGUCCAAUAGAGAGAGAAUGUGAGCCACUGAGGUGAUUUUAACUGAGGACAUUUUUCUAGCAGACACAAUAAAAAGAAACAAGCAAACUUAAAUUUGAUAAUAUAUUUUAUUUAGCCCAAUAUAUCCAACAUAUUAUCAUUUCAACAUGUAAUUAAUAUACAAAUCAUGAAUGAGAUUUUUUCAAUCUUUUAUUCAUUCUGA
rnacentral:lncRNA from 1 species